rnacentral:rRNA from 1 species
UACGUAGGGGGCGAGCGUUGUCCGGAUUUAUUGGGCGUAAAGAGCUCGUAGGCGGUUCGAUAAGUCAGGUGUAAAAACUCCAGGCUCAACUUGGAGAGGCCACCUGAUACUGUCGUGACUAGAGUCCGGUAGAGGAGCACGGAAUUCCUGGUGUAGCGGUGAAAUGCGCAGAUAUCAGGAGGAACACCAGCGGCGAAGGCGGUGCUCUGGGCCGGAACUGACGCUGAGGAGCGAAAGUGUGGGGAGCGAACAGG